rnacentral:misc_RNA from 1 species
GAUGAAGAACGUAGCGAAAUGCGAUAAGUAAUGUGAAUUGCAGAAUUCAGUGAAUCAUCGAAUCUUUGAACGCACCUUGCGCUCUUUGGUAUUCCGAAGAGCAUGCUUGUUUGAGUGUCAUGAAAAUAUCAACCUUGACUUGGGUUUUGUGCUCUAGUCUCGGCUUGGAAUUGGGUGCUUGCCGCUUUUACGAGCGGCUCACCUUAAAUGUAUUAGCUGGAUCUGUCUUUGAGACUUGGUUUGACUUGGCGUAAUAAGUAUUUCGCUAAGGACAUUCUUCGGAGUGGCCUCGUUUCUAGGACGCUUGUCCGCUUUCCAAUACAAGUUCCACCUCGUGGACAUGACUUUUUAUUAUCUGGCCUCAAAUCAGGUAGGACUACCCGCUGAACUUAAGCAUAUCAAUAACGGAGGA